UGACCUCGGAUCAGGUAGGAAUACCCGCUGAACUUAAGCAUAUCAAGCACGCAAGUUGUGAAAUCAUUACCGAGUUUACAACUCCCAAACCCUGUGAACAUACCACUUGUUGCCUCGGUGGUACAUCCGCUCGGUUAAAACGGGAGGGCGCGAGGAACGUAAACUCUCUUUCUGUAUGUAAGUGCGGAGGUAAAACAUUAAAUCAAUCACAACAUUCAACAACGGACUCUCGGUUCUCGCAUCGAUAAAAAAGCACACAAUGCGAUGAGUAAUGUGUAUUGCAAAAUCAGUGUAUCACGAACUUUGAACGCAGAUGUCGCCGCCGUUAUCUGCAGGCAUGCUGAUCGAGCGUCAGUUCACACUAAAGCCAGUGGGCGGGACCGCGCAGUCCAGUCUCCCAAUAGGAUGUGGGGUACGAGUUCCAAGGACUAACCUUGUCUGGUCGUCCCGGCCGCUCACA
rnacentral:rRNA from 1 species